rnacentral:rRNA from 1 species
AGAGUUUGAUCCUGGCUCAGAUUGAACGCUGGCGGCAGGCCUAACACAUGCAAGUCGAACGGUAACAGGAAGAAGCUUGCUUCUUUGCUGACGAGUGGCGGACGGGUGAGUAAUGUCUGGGAAACUGCCUGAUGGAGGGGGAUAACUACUGGAAACGGUAGCUAAUACCGCAUAACGUCGCAAGACCAAAAAGGGGGACCUUCGGGCCUCUUGCCAUCGGAUGUGCCCAGAUGGGAUUAGCUAGUAGGUGGGGUAACGGCUCACCUAGGCGACGAUCCCUAGCUGGUCUGAGAGGAUGACCAGCCACACUGGAACUGAGACACGGUCCAGACUCCUACGGGAGGCAGCAGUGGGGAAUAUUGCACAAUGGGCGCAAGCCUGAUGCAGCCAUGCUGCGUGUAUGAAGAAGGCCUUCGGGUUGUAAAGUACUUUCAGCGGGGAGGAAGGGAGUAAAGUUAAUACCUUUGCUCAUUGACGUUACCCGCAGAAGAAGCACCGGCUAACUCCGUGCCAGCAGCCGCGGUAAUACGGAGGGUGCAAGCGUUAAUCGGAAUUACUGGGCGUAAAGCGCACGCAGGCGGUUUGUUAAGUCAGAUGUGAAAUCCCCGGGCUCAACCUGGGAACUGCAUCUGAUACUGGCAAGCUUGAGUCUCGUAGAGGGGGGUAGAAUUCCAGGUGUAGCGGUGAAAUGCGUAG